UGCAAGUCGAGGAGAACCGCAGGGGACACCGGCGAACGGGGUAGGAUCAUCUCGGUGACGUACCCUCCGGACGGGGAGUAGCCACGGGAAACUGUGGGUAAUACCCGAUGACCUGGCAGGCGAUUAGGGCUUGUCAGCAAAGGUGAGAUUCCACCGGAGGAGCGGCUGAGACGCUAUUAGCUUGUUGGUGAGGUAAUGGCUUACCAAGGCGACGAUGGCUAGGGGGUGUGAGAGCAUGGCCCCCACCACUGGCACUGAGACACUGGCCAGACACCUACGGGUGGCUGCAGUCGAGAAUCUUCGGCAAUGGGCGCAAGCCUGACCGAGCGACGCCGCGUGCGGGAUGAAGGUCUUCGGAUUGUAAACCGCUGUCGGAGGGGAUGAAGUGUAUGGGAGCAAUCUCCUGUAUUUGACAGAGCCUCGGAGGAAGCACGGGCUAAGUUCGUGCCAGCAGCCGCGGUAAUACGAACUGUGCAAACGUUAUUCGGAAUCACUGGG
rnacentral:rRNA from 1 species